AGGGAUGUAGGUCAGUGGUAGAGCAUCUGCUUCGCAUGCAGAAAGGUCCCAGGAACAAUCCCUGGUAUUUCUA